UCUCUCUCUCUCUCUCUCUCUCUGUCUCUCUCUCUCUCCUUGCCAAACUCCCUCAUCACAUUCCCUCCAGUGCCACUCUCUGGACACAUCCCCAGGGUCCAAGAUUCUUCUCCCUGGGCCCAAGGAAAGGCAGUCCCAGGCCCCUCUGACUCCGAGCUUGCUUUUCCACCUCCUGCCCCAGCCCCCUGGACCACAUACUUGGAGGAUGAUGGGUAGGUCAGUGCUAGGCAAGGGGGAGGCAGCUGGUUCUUUGCUCAAGGAGGGAAGACGGCAGACUGGCACCCGGGGGCGGGUGUGCCUUGCCUUUUAUCCAACACGUUCCAUUCACAUGAGGAAUUCAGCCUGUGGGAAGGCAGCCGUACAGGCUUCUUCCUGUCCCGCCUGCUUGGGGGACCCCGGCAACCAGGGUACCCAGCCAGCUCAACCAAAGAGGCCUUUGUCCUCCGGACCACCAUGCUGUGACCCGCUUCCUCAUCCUGGUUCCCCUUUGCCAGAGUCCAGCCUCUCUUUCACCUUCUGCCUCAUUUCUGAGCCCAGGUUCAAGACCGCCCUCUGCCCACUCCCUUCUGACAUCACGCCGUUUGUACUUGAGGCACCAGAAAAUCCAGUGAUUCCGACAAGCACAUCGGAGAAGGGAGGAAGGAAUGAGCCGGGACAGGAUAAAGAAUCCGAGGACAGGCCAAGGCACUCCAGGACCGUCAGUGGCACGGAUGAAGAGUGAAGCUGGAGGACAGCCUUCCUGGUGUGCUGGAGAGAUCUCAGAGCCCACUCUGACCCUUGGAGCCGCCAUCUUCUCAGUCAUGGACCAUCCACCCCAAUACUGCUCCCAGAAGUCCUUGGGGCCUUGCCAUCUACCCUAUGGCUCUCACUGCCCAAGUACUUCUUGGCCUUCCCAUCUGCUAUGAACAUGAAUGUGAACAUGAGUCAUCUUCUCCAUGCAGUCUACCCCAAUUAAAAUGUGCGGUGCAGAGACAAUCUUGAUUUUCCAUUUUGUGGCCCUAGCACUUAGUCACCAAGAACUGGAAACAAAGUAGGUGUCCAUCAUCUGGGGAAUGGCUAAACAAAUUGUGGCCCAUGGAUAUAAUGGAACUAUGACUGUGCUGUAAUAAAUAAUGAUUCUGGAGAA